rnacentral:rRNA from 1 species
UACGGAGGGGGCAAGCGUUUUUCGGAAUUACUGGGCGUAAAGGGCGCGUAGGCGGACGAUCAAGUCAGGGGUGAAAGGCCUGGGCUCAACCUGGGAACUGCCUUUGAAACUGGUUGUCUGGAGUGCGGAAGAGGAUGGCGGAAUUCCCAGUGUAGAGGUGAAAUUCGUAGAUAUUGGGAAGAACACCGGUGGCGAAGGCGGCCAUCUGGUCCGGCACUGACGCUGAGGCGCGAAAGCGUGGGGAGCAAACAGG